rnacentral:rRNA from 1 species
AACGAACGCUGGCGGCAUGCCUAACACAUGCCAGUCGAACGAGACCUUCGGGUCUAGUGGCGCACGGGUGCGUAACGCGUGGGAACCUGCCCUUAGGUUCGGAAUAACUCCCCGAAAGGGGUGCUAAUACCGGAUAAUGUCUUCGGACCAAAGAUUUAUCGCCUUUGGAUGGGCCCGCGUUGGAUUAGCUAGUUGGUAGGGUAAAAGCCUACCAAGGCGACGAUCCAUAGCUGGUCUGAGAGGAUGAUCAGCCACACUGGGACUGAGACACGGCCCAGACUCCUACGGGAGGCAGCAGUGGGGAAUAUUGGACAAUGGGCGAAAGCCUGAUCCAGCAAUGCCGCGUGAGUGAUGAAGGCCUUAGGGUUGUAAAGCUCGUUUACCCGGGAUGAUAAUGACAGUACCGGGAGAAUAAGCUCCGGCUAACUCCGUG